UGGUCUGAAGCCUUCUUCUCUCAGCUCGUCAAGGUCAUUCUCCGUCCAGCUUUGAUCCGUUGCUGGUGAGGAACUGCGUUUCUUUGGAGGAGGAGAGUGAGAUGAACACGGUACCUCAGAUGGAAAUGCAGAAAUCACCCGUCUUCUGUGUCGCUCGCGCUGGGAGCUGUAGACCGGAGCUGUUCCUAUUCGGCCAUCUUGGCUCCAACCAAGAAAUUUAUUCUUUAAAAUAGAAAAAUAUGAAUACUGAAAGGUCAUUUUUGUCUGAAAGCUCUUGAAAUAAAAUAUAAAAAUUGACUGUCCUAUUUGGUGAACAGCAGACAUUGAAACAUUCGAGUUUUAGGAAAUUUUUACAGCUUUUAGACUAGAGAAGGACACAAAGACUGGGGAAUAUAUACAAAAGGCUGAUUUAUUUUUCUACAAUAAAAGACUCAGGGUGGAUGGUGCCUCACACCUUUAAUCUGAUUCCUUUGGGAGGCUGAGGGAGGAGGAUGGCUUCAGGCAAAGAGUUAGAGUUAGAGACCAACCUGGACAAUAUGGAAAAGCCCCAUCUCUACCGAAAGAGAAAAAAAAAAUGCUGGGUGUGGUGGUACGUGCCUGUACCCUAGCUAACCAGGAGGCUGAGGCAGAGGGAUUGUUUGAGCCUAGGAGUUUGAGGUUGUAAUAAACUAUGAUCAUGCCACCACACUCCAGCUAGGGUGACAAAGCAAGACCCUAUCUCUAAUUUUAAAAAAGCCCUGGAUCUUUGAAUUAUUCACUUCUACUUGGAAAUUUUUGUAAGAAAUCUCAGAUUGAACUUUUAAAAGCCUUUAUUGUUUACUAACUGGAGGUUAGGAAGCCAACCCCAAGAAAGCAUACACAGAUUUCACCUAUACUACCUGUACUUUGGGUGUAUCCUCUAUUCUCAGGGUCACUGAAAUUUGUUGACAUCUCUAGCCUUCCAGGAAAUGACCUUCCUGACUUGUGAGACUGCGUCGCGUCAGCCAGGUAUCAGGUCAAGUUCCCUGGAUGGACUUUGCAAUGAUUGGUUCCAGAAAUAAAGUCAGCCUUAGUUCCUUAAAAGCAAUGGUUGUGCCUGACUCAGGAUGCAUCAUUCUCCAAUAUGGGCACCUCCAUAAGGCCUUAGUUAUAUAACCAAUUUGUUUAACUAUAUCCUGAUGAAUAAGUAGACUGUAUGAACCUAUGCAAAUAACCAUGUCACCACGUAAAGUAAGGAAACUGAGGACCUAGUGAGAUAUUUUAAAUGCUUUAUUUCAUUUACAAAAGUACAAAAUUACUAUCAUCUACAGAAGGAAAUCCUUAUGUAUCUGUAAACUAAAACAAUUUUUCAAAGAACCAAAAUAAAAUGGACACCUAAUUCACGCAGGCAGUCUUAUGUCAUUAAUCCUUGUAGCCUGCUACCUAUGAAAAUAUAGAAAUCCUGACUGAGUCUUUUGCUCUAGUCUGCAAGCUACAUAAGUAACAUCAACUCAGAUGCCUCUACCAGAGUCUAGAAUUUAUCAGGAAGUACCUAAUAGAUUCCUUUUCCUGAUGCUGUCCUUUGUUGAAGAUAUCAGAUCUGGCCUGUGGUAAAACCAAGCUAUCUGCACAUGAUAGAGACUUAAUGGUCAUGGCUAAUGUAAAAUUGAUAACUUGUCAGUGAAGAAAGGCCUAAUGAUAUUUUAUAAUGUGACUUAUUUUCUUGAUUUUUGGGUAGUGUCUUACCUAGGAUAAAGCAUGUUCUGGAGAGCUAGGACAUUGAUGAAUCUACAGAAACUUUAUAAAAUUUCAGAAAUAUUUAUAUUAAUAUCACUUUAACUGUAUCUAUUAACUGAGGGCAGGCUGAGCAUCCAUUCAGUUUUAGACACUCUUCUCAUGGAACUUUCAAUAGUAACAAAAUAAAUAAUUAUAGCUAUUUCUACCAUCUAUCUUUCUAUGUUUAUAAAUUGAUCAUAUUUAUUACAUCAAAUAUGAUUUUGAGAUUAUACUUUGGUAUAAUCUUUUAAUCUUUUGUCCUUGAAACAAAUACCUUCUAAUAUUUUAAACUCCAAUAUAGCAAGUUAAUUUUUUUUUCUUAGUGUCUUACCUAAAUACAGUGUUUGUCUACUAACUUUGAAAUCAAUAAUCUUCUAAUGGAUGAAUAAUUUCUAAUUACUGGUGGUGUUUUAUUAAAUUUAAUAUAUCCUAUGAGCUGUCACGAUUUUAAAUAUUAUUUUUCCCUUUCUGAUCAUGGUCACUGUCCUGCUUAAAAGGCCUUCUGUGGCCGGGCGUGGUGGCUCAUGCCUUUAAUCCCAGCACUUUGGGAGGCUGAGGCGGGUGGAUCACGAGGUCAGGAGAUCGAGACCAUCCUGGCUAACACGGUGAAACCCCGUCUCUACUAAAAAUACAAAAAAAUUAGCCGGGCGUGGUGGCGGCGCCUGUAGUCCCAGCUACUCGGGAGGCUGAGGCAGGAGAAUGGCGGGAACCCGGGAGGCGGAGCUUGCAGUGAGCCGAGAUCACGCCACCGCACUCCAGCCCGGGCGACAGAGCGAGACUCUGUCUCAAAAAAUAAAAAAAUUUAAAAAAAGGCAUUCUAUGACCCUUAUGCUCUCCAGCUGUCCUCUGAGCCUCGGAAAGCUCUCAUGGUCUCCGGGUCUCCGCCUUGGUCACUCUGCUGCAGCUGUAGUGGCUGCCUUUCCAUUCAUUGAAUGAACGAACCUUCCUCCACUCUGCACUCUACCCCUGCCUGGAAUCAUCCCACUCAAACACUCCCUGCCAUACCUGACCAAAUCCUUUAUUCUCAAAUGUCUUUUCCUGAGGGAGUCUUCCCUAAAGCCUCACACUAGGUUAAUUUUCCCUAAAAUACAUGUUUAUACAGUUUCUCUUUACCUUUCAUGGUAUUUAAGAAAAUUAUACUUGGAAAACUAUUAAAUACAUGACUUUUAAAGUGAAUUUAAUACCCAGUGAAAACAGUUGUUAUUUGUGUUUUGUUUACAAUUUUAUAUGUCUGGGAAUUAGCACCGUAUCUAGCACAUCACAAGGCUCUUAAAAUUUUCUUAAAAAUAUAACGCGCACACACACAGACACACAUGAUAUAUGUGAUCCUCCAUCACAUGACUCUGCAUGUGUGUGUGUUUGUGUGUGUGUGUGUAUGUAUACAUAUAUGGUAUAUAUAUGUGUGUGUGUGCAUGUGUAUGUGUGUAUAUGGAGUAUUGCCUUGUAAUACUGUUUUAGCAUUAGUUCAUUAGCUGCAAUAACCAGUUUUAGUUAUAAGCAAGGAAUAUUUUCUAAUGGCAUAUAGAAAUUUAUGUUUAAAAAGAGCAAUUUAAGAAAUUGUUUCAAAACUAAGAAGCAACUUGAUUGUUUACCUAUCUUUUAGGCAUUUCUAAACUUGUUAAUUUUCUGGAGUAUUAUUUUUUAUUCUCCUCCUGGAGAGAAACAGUGAGUCAAAAGAAAUAAAACAACUAUACAUUUGUAUAGCACAUAUUUUUAUAAAAACAUGUUUAUGUAAAUUUAUUUGUCAGGCAUUCAGAUAUAUGUUCUGUUUAUCAAAAAUCAUUAAGAUUAAUGUAGAUUUUUUUUAGAAUACCAGUUUGGCUGAUUUGUUUUGUUUUGUUUUUGUCUUAUGUAUUCUAAUUUUGAAUUUCAAAAAAAUUAUUUCACUCUGGUUAUAGCUGUGAAACAUUUACUAUGCAUUUUUGAUUUGCUAGGUUAUUGUGAAUGGUUUUAUGAGUAAAUAGAUUUGUAUUAUUUUUUAUUCUUCUAUCAUAUACUCAUAUGAAAUAAUUGAAUAUAGAAGGGAGAUCAGCAAUGACUAAAUUAUUUUUGUAAGUAACAUCGACAUAGCAUUCUAUCCUUUUUUUUUUUUUUUUUUUUUGGAGAUGGAGUCUCGCUCUGUCGCCCAGACUGGAGUGCAGUGAGGCAAUCUCUGCUCACUGCAAGCUCCGCCUCCCGGGUUCAUGCCAUUCUCCUGCCUCAGCCUUCCAAGUAGCUGGGACUACAGAUGCUUGCCACCACGCCCAGCUAAUGUUUCGUAUUUUUUAGUAGAGAUGGGGUUUCACCAUGUUAGCCAGGAUGAUCUCGGUCUCCUGGCCUCGUGAUUCGCCGGCCUCGGCCUCCCAAAGUGCUGGGAUUACAGGCAUGAGCCACUGCGCCCGGCCUCAUUCUAUACUUUCUAAAACACUUCAUAUCUAUUAUCUUAGUGAACAUUCCAUUUCCUUUUUAUUUUUUAUACCAGAUAUUUGUUCAAAAGAAACCUGGGGCCAAAAGUUAAAAAAGUAAUAAAAUAUGCUACUUAGACAUUCUGAGUCCAUUUUGCUAAAACUUCAACUCAGAGACAUAUAGGGACAUGCCUAAAUUUGCACAACCAGAAAAAUUCGGCAGCUGGUCAGUUGCCUUUUUCUUCUGAUUUCCAAUUUGAGAAAAUUGUAAUGAAAAUUACUCUGAGAUCAGUAUCUAGAUUAGUUAGCCACAAAUACAUGGUUUAUGAAUACUUUUUAGAGAAAAGGUACAGCAUAGUGGUUAAGAAUACUAUUGGGUUGGAAUCUGUGCCUUUCCCUUUUUAGCUGUGUGAUCUGGGUAAGGUGCAUCAACUCUGCCUUCAUCGGCUCAGUGAUGAAGUGGGUGCCUACUUCGUCAGAUUGUUUUGAGGGUGAAAUGACUUAAUACUUUUAUACUUACAUAAAACACAGAGUAUUUGCAGGCAUAUAGCUUAUAGUUAACUAUUAUUUAAAUUGACAGUUACUGUUUUUUAAUAUUAUCAGUUAUUCCAUUAACUAUAUGGUACCUGAAUGCUGAUGUCUUAAUUCCAUUUAACUGUGUUUUUUAGAAUGUUGUCUGAUAGUACGUUGUUUAAAAUAAAAGAUUAUUUCAUUUCUACUUUAAAAUAUCAGUAAAUGUAGUGAUUUGUUAAAAAUCAAUGUUCUUUUCCUAAUUUAUGUUAUGUAAUAAAUUAAGCCAUUCUGCAUUAAGUCUCACCAAUUUACCUUCUGAGUUUUUUAGUCAUAAUGAUGUCUCCUGAACGACGCUGCUCAAAGGGCAGCCUUAGCUUUCAUGUAUGAGGAAGUCUGAGAGUUGCCUCAAUUUGUUUUUAUUUUUGGGAUAAGCCAGUAUCAUAUUGAUCAGUUAACAUUUAUUAUGAAUUGGCCGUUUCCUUUGUGUGUAUAUAAUUAUAUGUGUAUAUAUGCAUCAGAUAGAGCAUCAGAUGCAAUUUACUGUUUUUAUGGUACCUGUGCACAGAAUUUCUCCACACACACACACACACACACAGAGAGAAGGCAAAUUGAGUUAGGGCAAAUUCACUUUGAAAAGUUAGUGUAUUUGAGUUAUAUAUUAAUUUAAACUAUAAAUUUAAUAUAUUCAUAAUGCAUUCUAAAAUGUUAUAAAAUUUCUUUAUGCUUAAGACAUUUAUAUGUAUCUAUGCUAUACCAGGUAUUACUAAGUGGUAUGUAUUCAGAGAUGAAAAAUAGUUCUUGCCCUCAAGGCCUUAAAACCCCAAAGGGAAUACAGGCAAGUAAUAGACAAAUACCUUUAUAGUAAUGCAUGCCCUAGGUUCAGUGAUACUGGUAAGCAGAAAAUGCUGUGUAAAUAUGUAGGAAACUUGUUUUGGAGAUUGUUGGUAAAAAUAUGAUAUGCUUUAGCCAAACCAACUUGGAAUAGGAAGCCACAAGGUUAUGUAUGAGAUCAGUAAAAGUCUAAGUAAGAGUAGUCUUGAAGCAGUUGACUGGUAAUUUGAGAUUACAGCCAGUUAAGAUUAUUAAACUUCGAAUAAAUGAAAAAAACUGGGGCCUAAAGAAAACAAUUUACAUGCCAUUCUGAUUGGCAAGUUUAGUGAAAAGAUGAGUUUCAGUCACUUUAAAAUAUUGUUAACUCUUCAGUUAGAACUAGUAUCAGUGGUUUUGUGGCAUUAUGGUUUAUUUUUUUAAAAUAAUCAUUGGCUAAGUAUUUUUCAUGUUCAAAAAUAAAUAUAAAAAACAUCAACUUUAUGCAUAGGAUGACCUCAGUGAGUGUGUUCUACUCAGCUUUCUGGUGCUUAUUUGGUUAUCAUGGAAAUGCUAUCCUUUCCUAAUUCAGUCAGCUGAGGCACAGGGAUUAGAGUCAUAUGGCCUUAUCACGUGACCUCAGGAGUGUUGCUGUGAACGUGCUGGUUUAAGCAGGCAAAUUGACUACUGUGUCCAGUGAUCACGCUACGGAAAAAACACCAACCCUGAUACUGCAAUAUUCAUUCCAUAGAAUGUGAAAAUAAGGGCAUUAAAGGAUUUUCUUAUUAAACGCUACAUAGAAUUAUAAAAAAACAAGUGAAGAAACCAAAUAUUUAAUUCAUUUUAAAUAUUUAAACAUGUACAGAUAUUUUAAAAUAUCAAGUAAAGCAUGAAUUGAAAUACAAGAAUUAAGAACAUAUCUUGCUGAUUUAAAUAUUGACAGGCAAGGUAGAAUGUAAUUUGAAGAAUCUGCUAACUAAACAAAAUUUAAAAAUUAAUCAUACAUUUGAAAAUGAAAUAAUGUCUAAUGGCUUUUUAAAUGUGAACUUAAAAAAUAACCUGCUUAAAAAUCUUGCCAUCAUUGGGACACAAAUGGUAUUUUGUGAAACAUUUUCUGGCUUCUCAGAAAGAUCUUUGUAACUUUAUACUACAUUGGGCAAUAGUAAGGAGAAAGUUAUACUGGACAGCUAAAUCCACAUAUUUUGUUCAUUCUUUUAUUACUCCAUUUUCAUACUGCUAUAAAGAACUGCCUGAGACUGGGUAAUUUAUGAAGGAAAGAGGUUUAAUUGAGUUAUAGUUAAGCAUAGCUGGGGAGGCCUCAGGAAACUCACAAUCAAGGCAGAAGGUGAAGGGGAAGCAAGGCACCUUCACAAGGCUGCAGGAAGGAGAAGUGCCAAGCAAAGGUGGAAGAGCCCCUUAUAAAACCAUCAGAUCUUGUGAGAACUCACUAUCACAAGAACAGCAUGGGGGAAACUGCCCCCAUGAUUCUGUUACCUCCGCCUGGUCUCUCCCUUGAUACGUGGGGAUUAUGGGAAUUACAUUUCAAGAUGAGAUUUGGCUGGGGACACAAAGCCUAACCAUGUCAGUUCUCAAGUAAUCAAGUCUCUUAUCUGAUAAUCUGAGGAAGUUAAAAAAAAUAACCUUUAGGUUUCUUUAUGGGUACUGGACUCUUUUUUAUCAAUAGCUUACUGCCAGUUUUAUUUAAAUCAAAAUUGUUUUGUUUUCCACCCUGGUUUGACUUCUUCUUUAGUUUCAUAAAGUGUAGGUAAAGAUUCAAAUGUAGAGUGACCUGAAUCACUUUUAGUACUGUCAUGUUAAUAUUCCACUUGUUCAGAAUACCUUUGAACUAAAGUAAAAAUUAUUCUUGGAACAGAGGCUUUACUUUCAUCAGUUGUCAUUUUCUUCUUCCUCCUGGGGAUUAUAGUGUUAUAGAAGAGCACUUUUUAAAUGAGUCUUAGCUUCACUCUAUUUGAAAUUUAAUACUCUUUAUAUAACUCUCCGGGUAUACCUCGAAACAUAAAUGAUUCACAUUUCUCAUUUAAAAAAAUACUGAACUAGCAGACUUAAAUCAACAAAACCAGCAACAUUUCACUUCUGUAAUGUAGCUCAGUGCUCCAGAUAACUGAAAACCUGUGUUGUCAUCAUAAAACAUAUUCCCCAUGACAUCAGAUGUUAACACAUAAGUUGAAAUAUCAGAAGAAAUCUGGAAUCAACUAAACCCAUUGGUUUAUUUGUUUGCUCAUUCAUUCCUUAAUUCAUUCAAAUCAAACUCAUUAUUUCCAUGUCUAAUCUCUUCCCUCUUCAACGAAGAAAAGUAAUAAAAGGAGAAAAUAAGUAAAAAGCUAUAUGAGGAGCUGUGUGUGCAGAUAACGCUAUGGGACAUGAUGUAGGAAGUCAGACUCCUGGAAUUCUGUCUCUUUUCCUAUCCUUCCACCUUGAAUGUACCUCCUUUUUCCCUCCAUUUUUUUUUUGUUUGUUUCAGAGUAAUGUGUUGCUUUUCCUGUUAAAGAAGACUUUAGAUCCUGAGUGUAUACUGUCUUGACUUUAAAAGCCUAAUUCCUACCAUUAAAAGCAAUCAUGUUAUCAUUAUCUUUUAUACAGGGCACUUGGUAGAAAAUAAAAAUGGAGUUAUUUUUCUACUUUCCAGCAUGUAUGGGGACACGUUUACAGAUAUAAUUAUGUUUAUGGUUUUUUAGGCUCUUUAGAAACCCAUACCUUCUUUUAUUCUAACUGAAUUAAGAGAAUUAAGUACUAGUGGUGUUCCAAUUCAGGCUUUUAAAGACAUGCUAUAUACACAUGAUCAAUGAACUUAUAAUGCAGUGCCCACCCCUUUAUGAAGGCCUAUAACAUCCUUUAUGAUCCAGCUACUGCCUACCUUUCCACCCAGAUAUCUCUGCUUCCUACUUCUUGAGUACUAAGUUACAAUUACACCAGUCUCCAAUUUCAUUUCCUGAUACACAGGAAGUAAAAAUCAGGCAGGUGUUAAAUCAUAAAGAUCAUGAACUUUUUGAAAACACAUGUGGUAACUUUAUGCAACUUUACUUCGUGUGAAAUCCAUCAACCUUCAUCUUCUCCCUCUUAAGAUUUGGGAAUAUCUUUCAUGCUUGGAGAUUCAUAACAUCUUGCUCACACUUAUGGGAAACAUCUGUAAUUUUAGUACAACAACCAUAUCCUGAGAGCCAAUAGAUCAGUUAUGAGUUCUGAAUCUGUGUUGGCAAUCAGGAUACUUUGAACAAAUGGUACAAAUUCUUAAUCCCAUAGAUUUCUGUAAAAUAUGUCGACUGCAUGCCUUUAGGAAUUUUUUUUUCGAAUUUAACAUUCUGUUUCUUAGGUUAAUUAGAAGUUAUCACUGUAAAAGAAACACCUAGUAACUCAUAUAUUUUAGUCUGAAAAUUAAUAUUGUCUUUGGCUUUAUAAAAAUAAGUAAGCAGGCCAGUCGUGAUGGCUGACACCUGUAAUCCCAGCACUUUGGGAGGCUGAGGCGGGUGGAUUACCUGAGGUCAGGAGUUUGAGACCAGCCUUGCAAGUUAAAUCCCAUCUCUUCUAAAAAUACACAAAAUUAGCCAGGUGUAGUGGCAGGCACCUGUAAUCCCAGCUACUCAGGAGGCUGAAGCAGAGAAUCUCUUGAACCCGGGAGGCGGAGGUUGCAGUGAGCCAAGAUCACACCAUUACACUCCGGCCUGGGCAACAAGGGCAAAAUCUUGAAAUUAAAAAAAUAAAAUAAAAUAAAACAAAAUAAGUAAGCAAAGAAAAGUGGCAAUUAUUUUCUUUAUUAGAAAUCAAUGUUUGAAACAGUUUUUCAGUUAAGUGUUUACUGAUGUGUUGUAUUUGUGUGAUAGAUACUCCAUCUGCUCUCUCAUAGCUGUGGUCAUGACUGCUAGUUUUCUCCAUUAACACUUUUCCUCCAAAUUUUAACUGGGUACAUGGAUGGCCAGAAUAACAAGCACAUUCCCCAGGUUCUUUGGAAGCCUGCUGAGGUCAUGUGACCAGCAGUUAUGGCCAGAAGGAUGUUAAUGGUAGUGCUGUAUAAGCAACUCACAGGUCAUGCUCUUAAAUGGCGAGGGCAUGCACAUCUCUGUCCCCUUGCCACAUCUUCUACUCACUGGUGGAAUGCCAUAUCAUGUAAAUGGCAGAACAACAAGGUCAAAAAAUAUUAAUUGGCCUUUACAUAUUGCUAUGUGUUACUGCUAUAAGAGAAAUAUUUUUAAAUGGCAUAUUUCACAGUUUACAUGUCCUGUAACAUUUUUUAUCUUAGCAUUGAAACCAAAGUAAAAUUUAAUUCCUAAUGUCCUACAUUUAAAUUAGUUUUUUUAUUUCCCCUAUUGUUUACCCUUAUUAGUACUAAUGUCAGUAAUAACUAUACUCAAAACAUUAAAAAAUUAGUUUUCAAAUGUGAUUUGGACGUUUGGGAAAAAUUAAAUUUUUAUCAUAUAAAUAUAAAUGUUCCAUAAAACAGUUGUGUCACUAGUGAAUUGAAGUAACAUGUUAAGUAUAGCUCUUUUCUAAUAUUGGUCACAUGCAAUUACUUCGGUAUUUUUUUUAGAUCUUUAAAAUGUCAAUUCAUAUUUUGGGGGCGGUAGCUGGAAUGUUUAUGGCAUUUUAAUAGUCAAUAGUUUCUCCUAGAUAGCUCACAAUCUGUGUAUACAUGUAAUCUCUCCAUUUAGCUCACAGUCUGUGUAUAAAUGUUACUCUCCGUUUAUAUAUGUAUAUAUACACACACAUACAUACUCAUACAUGUCUUCACAUAUACUCACAUGCACAUAUAUAUAUAUAUACAUAUAUACACACACACAUUCGUGUCUAACACAGAUAUAGACACACAAUAUUUUUUAAGUCUUUUUCCUCCCUUAAGUCAGCCUUUUAAGAACAGUCCUUAAAGCAUUUGGGAACUUUUGGAAUGCUUGCUUUCAUUCACUCAUUCAUUUAACUCAGGUAGUUACUAAGUACACAUUCCGUACUAGGAAUUGUUUCAGUUACUCUACUAAAUGCUUGACAUGCAAAGUGGUCAGGAUAAAUAAAGCCUCUUUCCUCAGGAAGCUUAAUUUCUGUUAAGGGCAACAGAGAGAAAUGGUGAAAAAAAAAUGCAAAUGAUAGGUGACACAAAGAAAACAAAAACAUUGUUAAAAUUGAGAAUACAAUUUUGGCAGGCUGAGGCCGGUGGAUCACAUGAUGUCAGAAGUUGGUGACCAACCUGGCCAGCGUGAUGAAACCCCGUCUCUACUAAAAAUACAAAAAUUAGCCGUGCAUGUUGGCAUGCACCUGUAGUCUCAGCUACUUGGGAGGCUGAGGCAGUAGAAUCACUUGAACCUGGGAGGCAGAGGUUGCAGUGAGACCAGAUCGUGCCGCUGCACUCCAGCCUGGGUGCCAGAGUGAGACUCCAUCUCAAAAAAAAAAAAAAAAAAAAAAAAAAUUGAGAAUUCAAAGAUGGCUGUAAGCUAGAUCUUUAAAUAUUUGAAACAUACUUUGUAAAGAUCACAGAAAAACACUCUCUAAAGAGAGGUUACAGAGUGUUCAAAAGCCCAGAGGUGGGAAAAUGCUUGGGGAAUUCAAGGAAAUGAAAGGAGACUAGUGUCACUAUAACUUUGUACUCAAGAAAUAGGAGAGGCAGACAGGAGUUAGAUCAUAAAGGUCAUUAUAAGUCUUGGUAAAGAAGUGGACAUUGCAUUAUAACUUCAGAUGCAUUUUAAAGAGAGUCAUACAAAGGUGCAAUCUGUUUGGCAAAGAUAACCUUUGUUGCUUUUUAAGGAUUGACUAGGGCAAGAGUGAAUGUAGGGAUACCACUCAGGAGGUUGUUGAAGUAGUCAAAAGAGUGACAAUGAUAGCAGUGGAGAUAGAAAGAGGCAAAAAGAGUCAAGUUAUAAUUUUGGAGGUAGACUUAAUCAAGAAGCCUUAGUAAUAGUCUUUGGCCAUAAGACAAAUAGAGGAAUCAAAUAAUGACUUCAGGUUUUUGGCUUAAGCAGCCAUUACCUGUUGGUACCACUGUGUAUGGGAUAAAUAAGGCUAGAAUCAGGUUAGAAGUGAAGGUGAGGAGUUUAGUUUUAGGUAUGUUAUCUUCGUGUUUCUUUGAAAUACUCAAAUGAAGUGGUAAACAGUUUGAACUCAAGAAAACUGGAUAAAUACAAUUGGUAUUUCUCAACAUAUGAAUUUUGCUACAGCCGUGAUACUAAUGAGGUCAGCUCCUGGAAUUGAGAACCAUGAACCAGGAAGAAAAGAAAGUCCAGGAUCCCAGAGGAACGCUGAUAUCUCAACAAAGAGAAGGCAUAAAAGCAGACUGAGAAGGAAUGAUAGGGAAAAAAGAAGAAAUAUCCUGAGAUUUCAACACCUUGAAAACCAAAAUAUAGUAUUUGAAAAAAGAAGAGAUGGCCAUCCAUGUUGAAUGAUGCUAAACAGCUGAAUGAAAUGAGGACAAAUAAGUUGCCAGUGGUGAACUAGACAAGCAUGAUUCUGAGGGGAUGAUGAGCGUGAGAGCCAGAAUGGAGUGGGUUUAAAAGUGAAAGUCAAGUAAUGCUUUUGCAAACAGCUCUUUUGAGGUGUUUGUCUAAUAAAGGCAGCAGAUAAAUAAGAUGGCAGUUGGACUGGGAUGGGGAUCAAGAGAGGUUUGUUUUCCUAUGAAAUAUAAGAACAUGUUUGUGUUCAGAAAAGGCCUAUUCAAAGGGAAUGAUUCCGUGGUGAGAGCAAGAUCAAUGUAGAAGGGAAAGGGGCUGCCUAAAGGAGAACUGUAGUUCCAAAGCACAAGUGGAGAGGUAAAUGUUUAUACAGAAGUCCUCCUUCUCCCCAGAAAAAAGACGAAAAUACAGGUGCAGGUUGGUUGUAAGUGGGGUUUUGUGAAGAUGAAAAAGUUCAUGUUUGAUAACUUUUAUAUUCUCAGUGGGUUAUCAUUUGAGAGCAAAAGGAGGAAGGAAUAAGAUGUUUGAAAAAAGAAUAGAAGGUAUGAGAUAGACAUUUCUAGGAGUGAAAAUAGUAGAGAACUAUAGUAGGGUGUCCAGGUAAUAUUGCAUGUUCGUUAGAUAUUUGUAAUCAGGAGUACAAAUUGAUCCAGCCUCUUGGUUGUGUGCCUUUUUUCCUAGAGGGCUAGUGUUGAUCAAGGAUUGUAGUUUUGUCAGGCACCUGUCAAAAAAAAGGAAGGAUUUUGAAAGUACUAGCAAAUAACUAACAUAUUAAAGAAGCAACAGACAACUGGUUCUCAAAAUGGUCUGUAUAUUGGAAUCACCUGGGGAGUUUCAAAACCGCUGAUGUCUUUGACAAAUACCUAGAAAUUGUGAUUUAAUUGGUCUUGGCUAGGGCUGGGGCAUUGAAAAAGAAUCUUAAAAUGAUUCCCAGGUGAUUCUUAAGGCUAGGAAGAGAAGAGAGAAUUUUAAGAGGUCGUAAAAGAUAUAGGAAAGUUCUCCUGUUUUAGAACAGAAAUUGUAGUGAGCAUAGCAAGAGGAUUUUGGGGGAAAAGUUCAGAUUGUGGUAUGUGGUGAGUUCAACUCUCAGUGCCUGGCCAGGAGGCUGAACUUGGAUUUCCCGUAAGAAAUGAAGCAAACCCGAAUGGGGCUGCUGCUGGGUAUUAUUGAGAAGCUUUCUAAAAUAUAUUUUCAUCAGUAAAUAAAGUUUAAAUCAGAAGCCUUUCUGCCUUUCUUAUAUUGUUUGCAUAUAAAUAGAUUUGUAUACAGAUAUAUACAAAAUGUAUGUAAAUAGAUUUAUAUACAAACAAAAAUCAUGGCAAUAGAGAACAAAGUAUUUUUUGUUUAUAAUGUAGGUCAUCUGAUACGUGUACAUAUGUUUUUCCUGCUUUCUUGUUUAGCACUCUUAUUAUCAUGAUGUUAUUCUAGUUUCUGUAAUGAGUGAUACCUGUGGAGAAAGAGGCAUAAUUACCAACUGGCAAUUUUCUCUCUCAGCAGUAUUAUGAAAUUUCCAUUACUAAAUUUAAAGGAUUUUCUCAAUAUAAUUAUAUUGUAUUUUGACAUUUGAAAAUUCUGUAGGACAUUCUUUAAUGAAUAUGUUCCAUCCUCCCCAAAGCCACAGGGGAAGUCAGAUGGAUUUUGUCCUAAGUGUCAGUCUGCGUUUGUUGAUUGCUACGUUAGACUUCAGUAUAAAACGUGUGAUCUUACUUCAAAUCUUCCAUCUGUGGUUGUUUAGUGUCAAACUUGUAAAUUCUUCUAUUUUUCUGAUAGAUAGGAAUACAAUAAAGAUUUAAAUGUCUUCCUGCUAAGUGCUGGAAUUGAGGCAGUUACAGAAAGACAAAAUACACUCUCCUGAACAGUGGGAGUGCUAUAUUUUGGCAUUUUCUUUUAGCUUGUUGAGGCAAGUUUACCGAAUGUAACAUGACUCAUAGAAGUCUAUAAAACUGAGCUGUGAAAAACUGCAAAAUUCUAAAUAUGAGCAGUUGUAAAUGGCUUGAAGUUCUGUUAAAAUGCUCAGAGAUACAAAUAGCAUAUAUUCCAAAUGGCACAGACUUAAAAGCAAUAGCCCUGAUUUGAUUCACAGCACACUGUUAACCAGGGUUAGCUGGCAUUUAAUGAGAACCUACCAUGAGCAUGACAUUGCACUAGGAGUUAAGGAAGUGCUGCUAUAAUUACCUGGGGAGCUUUAACGUAUUGAAGCCCAAGAGCCUGACCCCAACCAUUUGAGACAGAAUCGCUGAGUGUAAGGCUCUGGCAGUAGUUGUUUUGAAAAAUCACACCAAAUGAUUUUAAUUUGUGGAAGUAUAACAUAGAGAUCCACUGAUGGAAGAACAUGCAAAAAUGAAAGUUGAGAGAGACAGAUUGACCUGGACUGUGCCGGAAUCACUGGAAGCCAGGCAAGAGAAUGUCUUUAGCCCUCUUUCCCAGGUGACUUAAAUGCCCACUACUGGAAAAACUCCUGCCAGGUUUGCUUUCACAAGAACAAUUUCAUCUCAGAUCCUUCCUGAUGAUCCUAACCUUUGAGAAGAGUCACUUUAGAGAACAUUGCUUAUGUAACUUACCCACAUUUUUUUCUACCCACCCACAUUUACCAAACUGAAUACAGAAAAUCUUUUACAAAUAUAAAAAGAUUAUACUAAUAUUCUGGAGAGGAAAAAAAGAAGCAACUGAACCUAACUAUCUCUAAUUCUUUCAGUCUUGGUCUCAGGAUAGGAUGCCCCGGAAAUACUGCUACAUUUCUUCCUUUGGGAUAUUUGUGAUUAUCAGUGGCUGUGGUAUUGACUCCUUUUGAAUUUCUCCUCAGUUGGGCUGUAUCCAGUUGAGGCCCUUUUAAAGAUGGAGUGGGAGCCAUAGGAAUACACCCACUGCGGUGCCCAGGUGUGACCAGGUACAGAUAUUCUCUGUUUUUCAUCCAUCUAAGCUAGGUCCACCUCUGUUAUCAUGCCUCUGAGGCAAUGUCCAUGUGAGGAUGGACAUUGUAUCACAUGGAGAAAUGCACAGAGGUGCAGGAAAAUGUUCCUUUAAAUGUGGAGCCCUUUUAUAAAGGUGUUAGUUCCAUUUGUGAUGUAAGAGCCGUUAUGACUUAAUCACCUCCCAGAGGUCACAUCUCUUAAUGCUGUUCCAUUGGUGAUUAAAUUUCUACAGGAAUUUUAGAGGGGAUAUUGUCAUUUAAACCAUAACAAUCCUUCCUUCCUUCCUUCCUUUCUUCCUUCCUUCCUUCCUUCUUCAUUCCUUCCUUUCUUCCUUCCUUCCUUCCUCCCUCCCUCCCUCAUUCCCUCCCUCCCUCCCUCCCUUUCUCCAUCUCUCCCUCCCUGAAUGUAUUCAUUAUCCACACAACUCUGGCUUAGAAGGAUACCUAUAGCAUCUAAACCUCUCCAGCUCCAUUGUUAGGUUAUAGACAAUUGAGUUUGCAGAAUGGAGGUAUGGUUUACUUUAACAUUAUAUAGAAAUAUAUAAAUUUUUAUCAAGCCUUAUUUAUUACUUAAUUACCUAGCAUUUUAUAAGCACUUCAAAGUUUCAUUUUCUAACCAUGAGCCCCAGUGACUCACAAAAGAUUCCCUUAAAUACAGGGAACUGGAUAGGUCACCUUUAAGGGCUGGUGCAGGGGAAUAGAUUGCUACUCUAGGAAUAAAGAUAAAUUAAUAUACAAUGGGCAUUAAUUCUAGCCUUGAGUCUGUAAUUUGGUGUUACAUCUUCAAUUAAGCCUUCCCUCGAUUUGAUCCCAAAGACCCACCUGAGCGAGAGCCUCACUUUAUCGUUGGACAUGCAAACAAAUGAAUAGCCCUCCCCUUUCCUGACAUCACUCUACAGAGUACCAUGGUAGGGGUUUUCUUCACAGUAUUUCUGCCGUGUUGUUAAGUUCUUAAAUCAUCUCUCACCUUCACUAAUUCUUGCCUUUCUAAUUUUGCUAUAUUAGUAAUGCUUGUUAUUUGGCUCACAGCCACUUAGCACACUUUCUGUAAGUUUCUAGAGGUUACCAGAAAACCUACAGAUCUUCUUUCCGAAAAGAAUUGAUCAGAGGCUUCAUUUUAGCACAAAGACUGAAUACCAGACUCUGUCAGUGUUAUUCAUGCAGGCUGGAAGGAUCCAUAGGCUGAAAAAUGUGAGAUGUAUUGUGAAACUGGUGAGCUAUAUGGCUGUCAUCUCAUAGAAUGUAGUGAUGAGUGCUGUAAACACAGAUAUCUUGCUCUGGCAACGUUUCUACUGAACAACUCAACAAUAGGAGACUAGGAGUUUAAAAGAUGAAUUUCUCUGCCUCUAAAAUUUUAGAUUAUUACCUGAGUCCUUACUUCUCCAUCCCAACUUGGCCCCCUCCCAUUAAAAAAAAAAGAUGAAAGUGACCUAUACAUACUAUCUCAAAAUAGUAAAGAGAAUCUCUCAGUUGCUUGGAAAAUACAGUUAGUUUUCAUUUUUUCUUCUCAUUAAGAGAGACAUAGGCUUCUCUUUGGCGAUAUAUUUUCUUUGAGAGGUUGAGGGGAUACAGAUUAUUUAGAUGACUUGUCUCAACUUGACAGUCUUUUAGCACCCUACUACUCUAAAAAUGGCUAUAAUUUCUUGAAAAUUUACUCAGAGCAAGGCAGUGCACUGAGUGCUUUACAUAUAAUCUCAUUUAAAACUUUGUCAUACUCCUGAGAGGUAGAUAUGAUUCCCUUCUCUUCACACCUAGGGAAAUGUAAGGUUAAGUGGCUUUCAGAUUUAUAAAGGAGCUAGAAUUUGAACCCAGCUGGUCUGUCUCCAAAAUGUAGGUUCUGCAUCACUACCCUAUAUAAGACAGUAGUAUUAUUUUGCCCGAAAUGAAUGGUAAUGUUGGUAGUGGUGUUGGUGCAGCUCUAACUACAGUCAUUCAUCCAGAGGAGAUGCAACAAAGAGGAAAACAACAGAUCAAAUUUUGUAUUGUACUGUGGUCUGUCAAACAAAUCAAGGGAGAAAGUAGUUUGUUUCCAAAUUAUAAACCAAUGUUACAAAUGACUUAAUGGUCCUCUUUGUUUACUUGUGAUAGUUAUUUCUUCAUUCUGCACUAAUUUGGCACCUACUGCUGAGCCGGGCACUAUCCCAGGAACUGGGUAACAAAAGAGAACACUUAGUCUUAACUCAAGGAGCUCACUCUCCAGAGAGGAAACAAAGAAAGGCAGGUGCAAGUGUGUUAGGUAAUAAAUUUCACCUUCAGGAUCUGCAUAAAGCACCGUGAGUACUUCAAGAAAGAUCAUGAAACCAAUAUUUAGGCAAGGAAGUUGCAGGCCAUGAAGAAAGGCCUGCUUUGGAAGAAGAGAUUAAGUUUAAAGUAUCCCUUUCACCUCCAUCCUGAUCCUCUGUGUAGUCCCGUCAUUGGAAUGGUGGCUACACAAAGCUAAGAAGGUGAAACAGAAUGAGGACCAUACUAAUUUAGAUCAUGAGUGAUGAGAGAGAAGGCUGAACCUAGAAGCAGAGGCCAGGUAGCAGAGGGCUUUUGAAGGGUUUUGCAGGAGAUUGGCAUGGCCACAUCCACAGUUUAGAUAUGUUACUUGAUUGACAGUGUAAAAGAUGGAUUUCAAGGGGCUGUCACCUCAAACUAAAUACAGAAAUGAAAGACCUUUUGCCACCAGAAUUUUUUCAUAUUGGUUUAAAGUUGUAGGUCUAAAUUCUUCCCACACUUGUCACAUCAGUCAGUAAAUUUUAUAUACCGCCACUCUGGAGCAGUUUGAAAUCAUCCACUUCAUUUUUUUUUUUUUAAAUAAGGUCUUGCUAAAGAUUACGAGGGAAAUAAAGUUUCUAUCCCUCUGUUGACUCAAAUAAAAGAGAUAUUCGUUAACUCUGCCUAACUUAUCAUGUACAAAAUAAAAUACUAUUACAUUAUUUCAGGUAAAUUAUUUUUACUGCAUAUUCAUAUUCUAGGUAAUCAAAUACUGGAAAGUUGUUUUAGUCUAUGAGACAAGAGUUGUGUUUCUUUGACUGUACAGGUUUGAAUCAACUUCUGCAUUAUAUUUCACAACUCAAAACUGACACAGCUACUUGAUUUAAGCAAUUUUAAAAAUAUAAGGUAGUAUAGGUGUAACACUUUAUACGUUAUCAUCUGUAAUUUUUUUUAAUUUGGUGUUUGUAAACUGAGUAAUAAUAGGUGCAGUUGAAAAAUGUGUUUAUUUUUAAAGGAAUUUUGUAAUACAGCAAAAAUUACCACCUGAUUUAUCAUUUGUAAAAAACAUUUUAUAUAACUAUGUGUCUUAAAGUAAGUUGUACCCAUAGAAGUGUAAGUUAUAAAUGAGAAAAUAUAAUACUAUAACUUUUAAAACCAUAAAUAGUUCUGUAGAAAUGCCUGUAAUACUUGUCUUUCCUCUAAAAAUACACUUAGGAAAUACAUCUACAAUUAGCAAAAAAGAUUGUACUAUUAAGCUUAAAAAUAUAAGCCUAAUUUCAGUUUUUACGAAGGAAUUUUAUAGCAUAAGAGAAAUAACCCAGAAACAGCUUUUCAACUUUGUUCGCACACAAUUGUCUAAUAGACUCUUCCAAGUUAAAUUUAAUAAAGCCAAAUGUGAUAGGUGCUUGAGCUUCACCAACACACACAAAACCAUCAUUCAGAGAUACCACUUUGAAAUACGCAGAGAUGACCAUGUGGAGAUGAAAAGGUGAAAUGACAAAGAUAAGUUUGAAAACCUAGGUAAUUCAUACCUUUUCAGAACUUUAAUCUUUUAUACGUUAUGUUUUUAUUUUAUAUGGGUCAUAGAUAAAAUUUUCAUGGUAUACUUGAUAACAAAUUGAUAAAUUUAUUAUGGAAUUGUUACACUGAGUUAUUUUUAUAGCCUUUCCCUCCCAGCAUAGUAGUCAGCUGUAUUAUCAACUUUCUAUAAACAAGAAGACAGUCAGAUAUCUUAGAUUAUUCCAAUAUGGUUUUUAUAGUUUAGUAAGAAACAUUAUCUGAUCUAUGUGAUUAAAAAUGUUAUUUUAAAGUGCUACGACUUUCUCCACAUUUUAAAUUGUAUUUACCUUUUUGUUAUAAUGUAGAAAUGCUGUGCACUUAAAAUAUUUUUUUAGAUCAGCUUAUUUUUUAGUUACCUAUAGACUGUAAAGCUGUGGUAUGAUGAGAACUUAAUUAUUAUGUGUUGAGCAAAUAAACCAUUCGUAAGCCUGGUGCAUUCUGAGAAAUCCAUUUAUUGACUUUUUAGAAGACAUUUUAUUUAUUAAAGCAAGACUCUCAUGAAAGCUAUGUGAACAUAUAAGGAUCUCUCUCUUUGUUUCUUUCUUUUAAUUAGGGUAUUUUAAAAUCCUUUGUGUGUGGACUGUACUAUAAAUGAGGCCAAAUAGAUACUAGUAGAGUAAAUGAAAAGUUGAACAUGUUAUUUUGCUUGCAACAUUGGAAAGCUACUGUUUUAUUGAUUCAUUAGUCAUUCCAAAUAUUUUUGGAGCAGGCUUUUCUGAUAGCUUCUAAAGAGAGUUUGAUGGUGUACUCCUUUUGUAUUCUUUUUGAAGAGGUAUAAUCAAACAAUUACUUGAUUACUUGAUGCAGGCAGAACACCUCCUCUAUGCAUAAAGCAGAGUGUAUAAACCCAAUUCCAGCAACGUGGCUAUCUUCAGGUGUAUGUCAUCUGUGCAUUCUCAGCGGGGUGAUAUCAACCCCAAUAGGGGCAAAAAUUGAUUUUUCUGGUAGAACAAAUAAAACCUUAGAUACAAUAGUGUGUGGCUCUCCAGAGUGCCGCAGCAUAUAAACAGAUAGGCAGUAGUAUUUGGAGCAUCAAAACUUCAUGGGGUGGGUAUACAAUUUGGAAAAAAAUGGCUGAAGAGGCUUCUGCAGGGUAAGUGAGGGAGUAGUAGGUAGGGAGGAUACAUAAUGAAAAAAGAAUUGAGCAACACUGCAUUAUUCAUAUUGUCAUUUCUGGGCCUUCUACACCAGGGUUGCCCACUAGAGUCUGAUUACCUCAAAAUAGUACCUUAAUGAUAAUUGUUUCAGUUUUCUAGUUUGAUGUGUAAAUUCUUCUUUUAGGGCAGAAGGGUAAGAUUUUAGUCCCAGCCUAGGCAUUAGCAUUUUACUAAACGUUCCACUUUGUAAAAUAAAGACUUUGUCCUCAUAUUGUUCCUUACGUUGGCAUUGAGAAUACUUAUUCUCUUGAAAAUACUUCUCAAGUAGCUAAAAGUUAAGAUAUGUUUUACUGUUUUGAAAAUGAAAAGUUUUCUGUGACUGCCAGCCUACUUCCAAUUCCUUUAUUCUUCCUUGCUUUUUCUCCUUCUCUUGCCAGUAUAUGCUGCCCCCAACUAAAUGAGGGCAAGAGUUGCCUGAGCAAAUAUAACAUCAAAGGCCAGACAGCUUAAGAUAAAGAGCUGAUACUUUUAAAUUCUAAUUUUCUUUCCUACAGACACCCAUCAUUUUUUGAGUAAAAGACAAGGACAUCUGUUCAUUUUAAUCAGUUCACUUCAAGGUCACAUGUUUAAAUUAUAGAAAGGUCUAAUAUAGAGAUAUUACUAUAUGGAUAUAAUGAAAAUUAUUUUUUAGUGAAAAUAAUCAUUAUACAUAUUAACAUUUAAUAUAUUGAAAUCUGCAUAUUUAAGCGUGGUUUUGUUUCCUAAAAUCAUUACCUUGGGUACACACAAGACUUGUUUCCUCAUAAGUCACAAAUAUUUUCAUAACUGCUAUCUUGUUUUGUCUUGGAAAGAUCAAUUGUAAGAAGCUGAUAUAAUUAUUAGGACUUACAGUUAGAAAACUGAAUUUUUGAAUUUUGCUAAUUAGCAGACAUUUUGCUAUUUUCUGACCCAUAGCAAAAAAUAUUUUAUAACAACCAGAAUUUCCUUUGCAGCUUGAUGAGAUAGAUGGAUAGAUAGAUAGAUAGAUAGAUACAUAGAUAGAUACAUAGAUAGAUAGAUGAUAUAUAUGUGAUACCUAAGUUGUUUUUGUUUUUAAAUUGUAAUUAAAUAAAACAGUAAAUGUCUUCUUUUUUAGGGUGGCUAAAAUAUGCAAUAUCAGCAGUAAGCAUUGGACUGAACAUGGUUCUUUUUAACCAUGAUUUUAAUAUUCAUUUGUUUUAAUUAUUUUGGUAAUUAUAAUAAAAGAACUAGGAAAUGAACCUGAGAAACUAUAAACACACACACACACACACACACACACACACACACAUUGACUUAAAAUACAUACUUUACAAAUUGAGAAAUAGGUUACCAACCCGUAAAGCUCAUUACUAUUUUAUCAUUUUUUCUCUUAUUUGCCAAACUUCAUUAUAUAGUUAUGUGUGCUGAUCCUGCUUCCUCAUACUCUACCCACCUCUCAAACUCUUGCACUUUCCCUGAUGCCAUCUCACAAUUCACGAACUUUGGUUUCCAAGAUCAUCGUUGACUUGCAGAUCUCUGCACCCACUACCUGAACUCCUUUGACCUCUUGGUUCAGUUUGACUCCUCAGGUUUUCCUUCUCUUUCUUCUUUGUUAUGUUAUGAUUCUCCUGUCUCCUUCACAGACUCCUUCUCCUCUGUUUCUUCUGUAAUGUAUUAAUACAUCUUUCUCAGGUGUUCUGCUGGUUCUCUUUUAUUGCUCCCCUACCUCUCUCAGAAAGCUCAUCUACUUUUAUGCUUCGACCAUUUCUUUAAUGUAAAUAACUCCUAUAUCAUUAUCUCCAAAUCCAACCUUUUGUUCUGAAUUACAAACAUAAAUUUUGAAGCUGCCUGAGAUCUCUACCUGGUUAUCUUGCUGCCUCCUUUAAGUCACUAAAUCCAAAACUGAAGUCAUCCUCCCUAUAAAUCUUGAUACCCUUUCUUCUUCUUUCUUUUUGUCCUUCUCCCUUCUCCUUUCUUUCUUCUUCUUUUCCUUCCUCCUUCCCUCUUCCUCUUCUUUCUUCUUUAUCCUCAUUAUUCUGGUAAUUAACCAUUGAAAUCUGGGAAUCAUCUUAGUUGUUCCUUUUAUUUGUUUAUUUUUAACAUCCAGCCCGUAGCUAAGUCACAGUAUCCUUAUUCUUCGUGACCUUUUCCCCAUAUACACUUCCACAUAAUUUUAUAUGUCUGUUGCAUUUGUUUAGACUUUUGCAGUUUAUGCAGCAUUUUUGCAUGCAUAAUGUCACUUUUUACAAACAAUGUGCAAGGUCGGUAUCUUUUUUAUAAUUUUUAUUUUGGGACAGCAAAAAUUAAUGGUUAAAAGUUCAGGUUUGGAGCUAGUUUGUCUACAUUCUGAUCCUGGCUGCUUAGCUUCCUAGCUGUAUCAUUUUUGACUUGUUACUCAAUUUUUCUGUGCCUCAACUUCAUCGUUUAAGAAAGGGGAUUAUAAUGGUACCUAUUUUACUGGGCAUUUGUAAGAAAAUAUUUAAUUAUGUUAAGAGUUUAUGUUGAUGCUUUUUAUUUAAUAAAUGUUCGAUAAACAAAAGGUUACACAGCUGGAGGUUACACAUUGUAAGUGACAUAUUACAAAUUUUAAGUUAAGUCCUAAAAUUUAUGUCCUUUGUAUCCAUAUUCCAUGCUUCAUCCACUGUAUGACACAUCAUUUUGCCUUUUAAAAAAUUCUAUAGGAGAAAUUCUUUAUUUAACUGGAGACCGGACUAAGUUAUAUUCAGACAAUUAUUUGAAAGCGUAAAACUGCAAUAUAGUUUGUAAUUAAAUAAAUCAUUUCACAGGGUUUACCUUCUUGAUGUUUAUACCCUGUGCUCCCACCAUUCCUAAAAAGUAUUUCUUUAAUGGGUCUCAGGAAGAACAUUAAAGUAAGUAUGUAUAUAUUCCUGGAUGGUAGUCUAGAAUGUCUCCUGAGUUAUGAAUAUUUAGAUAUUCAUGAGUCUUGACAUCUGUCACUUGGAGUGUUAAAAGUUUCUCGUUACCCCCAAAUACCUGACACAUUUAAUGAUUCUUUGUAAAGUUUCAAGAAGGAAAACUUUGUUAAAGUUUCCUUUUUAUACAUUCAUGUGCCAGUUUAUGAGGGACUCCAAUAACUGUUGUGCCGUAAUUCUGGAUUCUUAUUUUAAUCUUUUCAGGGUAAUUAAAUUCUCUUGGAUUUUUUUUUACUCUCUAGGUGAGCAAUUUCAUUAAUCUGUGAAUAGCUUUGUUUAUAUAGUUUAAAGUUGAAUAUAUUAUGUUUAUUUGAUAUUAAGUGAACAUUAAAUAUGUAAGAUAUUUGAUCUGUGAUAAUAGCAUAUUUUGUUUUAAGUCUCCUUCUGCACUACCCAGGUUUCUUACUGGAAGAUUGGAAAUUUACAAGUUUAGGUACAAUUACGUUAAAUAGAAUUUAUCUACAUGUACAAAACAUCUCACUGUACAAAGUAAGGCACAAAACUGAAAUGUCCUUCCUACAUAGUCCAAAUCAAAGUUCUAAACCACAAGGAAGAAGAGGAGCAAAAAGAGACUAUUUGUAUUGGACUUAGCUCCUUUGAAAUAAUUUUCACAUAACAACCCUGUUUGUGUGUCGUUGAAGAAGACAAGGAGCUAUAAAGGGAUGUUAGGAAAUGUCUAUUCUCUAGAAAGCAGUUUAUCCAGCUAAAAAAAUUACGCUUUUCUGACUGAAGGAAAGAUACGUCUCAGUCAGAGGAGGGGAUAUUUAACUUGGUUAAUAAAGAAUGGGCAGAAUUUCUGUAGGCAAAAUCAGGCUUUGCAAGUCAAAGAAUUAACUGGAGAGAAGGCUUAGAAGCAGGAAACCUGGGUCCUGAUCAGAUUAUUACAUGUCAUCUGGCUCUUUGAAGCAGGGUCUGCAUAUUGGGAGAUAAAGUACAAAAGAUAGCAAAGAAACUUUACUCAGCUGGGUGUGAAUAGUAGAGAUGAGCGCCUCCAAAUGGCAUAAUUUAAGUAAUGAAACUGUUGAUAUGACAAAAGUUAAAUGCAGCACCCAUUAAGUUACUAACUAUAUUGCUUCACGUCUGUGUUCUUUCCUUUGCUAUACUAGUUCUGUCAUUUAGAGCUUUGUCUCCUGUAGAUGUACAAAGAAUGAGUUAGCCAUAUGGAAGAGUUUAUGGUUUACCUAUAUGGAGGGUGGUAGUUUGUAUGUUGUGACAAAAGAUUUGUGUUUAAGUGCCAUUAUCUUAAAGACACUAAGAUUGUUUGUUUAUGUAUGUUCAACCUGUAUAUGUUUGAAUUCUCCCUUUUAUUACCUUCAAAGCCAUUUGAUAGCCCAAUUCAUAACUUUAUAGUCACAUUUUUCAAAAAUCAAAAUCAGCAUUACCCAGAGCAAAGGGAGAGGGCUGAAGCAAGCAAGUACAAACACUGAGAACCUUUUCUUCUUAUUGUGGGAAGAAGUUCACAGUGUUUCCCACCAGCUGUCAUGCUGCUAUGGAACUUUUUUCUCCUUUCUUUGGCACCAGUGGCCUGAGAGGAAGCAAGAGCUGAUAGCAGGGAAGCAGACAAGGCUAACUAGCUGUUGGCAGGAACCUGGAGCAAUAGAAGCAUCAUCCAAAGGCAAACCAAUACAGGCUCUUUGAUUAAGUUAUAAGCAGGUAGAUAAGUCUCUCUACUUGGGGAGUUAGAGCUCUGACUACAGAAGAAAGGCUGUGGGAGAUGGAAACCUAGAAAAGCAGCAGCCGGCUGUGCCUUGAACAAGCCUUGGAUUCUUACAGAAACACUCCACCAGCCUGGAAUGAUACCAGUAUUCAAUUAAACCGAUGUCAGUUAUCAAAUUCUGAGUAUUUAAGGAAACACAUUCUUACUAAUCUUUUUUAUUUUUUUCCCCUGUGGCCGUGUGCUUCCCUUUUAAAUGUCUGUUCUUAGCUCUUAAAGAGUAAUUGACUAGGGAAGUUUGUUAACCUCUGUCACUAUGUGUGUUUGCUGUGACCACAGGAACUCUGACUUAGCGGUAGCAUAUCCUAAUCAUAGGCAAACAAAGUAGCACAGUCUGUCUUCACUACUAAACUUUUGAGUCUAAACCUAAAGUUGCAAUAGCCACAAAGCCACAUGUGUAGAAUCAAUUUCAUAGUCGGCUAAUUUAUUCCUUGCUUUCAUAUCCCGUUUUUCUGCCUUAUUUUCUACUACUUAAAAUGGUGUGGAAUCUUUCAGUUGGUGCCUUACUCACAUGCAAAACAUUUAUACAUUUUUACAAGGUUCUCCAUUAGCAAAUUAUUUUCUGAGUCAUUUUUAACUUAACUUGCAAAAAAUCUGAAUUCAGUUUGAAUUUUGUAAAAUAACCUUCCCCCCCCAUUUCCUUUGUGUAGCUAAUUUUCUCCCAGUAGAGUAUUUUGAGUCUCCUGUUUCAUGCAACAUCAGAAUGGCUUCAAAAUGAAUGGUGAAAUGCUAUGAAAAUUUGUAUUAAGAAAAUAAUAUCUGGUUCUUACAACAUUGUGUGCAAAAGUAUAACGCUCAUUCUCGAUUUAGUCUCAUUUGCUUUGUUCAUUGUCUUAUCCUCGUCUUAUUAUAUUUUUAUUAUUUAUUUUAAAUUUAAAAAUGUGCCAAAAAAUGGCAUAUAGGUCAAAGUAUGAACAGCAACGUGAACAUUUGAAAUUGUGUCUCCUAUUAGUGUGGCAUUCAGAAAAGGAAACCUAACCUCUGAUAAACAGACAACUGAAGUGCUUUAUCUGUUCUCUUCUGAUUUAAAUAUUUCUCUCCCUGAUGGUAUAGAUAUGUUCCUCUUUAUCCACCCCCUUUCUACCCCGUUGUACUUUCUGUCUGUGUUUUUUUUUUUUCUUAUGGCUCUCACAGAAACCCAUUUUGCAUCUGUAAAGAAACAUUUGUUAGACACUUUUUUAUCUGUCUCUAUACUUCAACUGGGUAUUCAAAAAAAAAAAAAGACAUUUUCCAUAAGGAAUACAUAGUCUACUAAUGCAAGCAGACAUCAUUUACUUUAUUUUUUUUCCUUUCAACAUUUAUUUAAUAAAUCUUUGAGUGUAUACUGAAUGCUUCCUGUAGUGGAAAUAAUAGAUGAAAAUAUAGGAUAUCUGUCCCCAGUCUAAUAGAAAGAUCGGCAAAAACAAUACAAACACACACAUACAAAACACAGCAUAACGCUAUUUAAAUACUUUCAUUAGUAAAGAAAAAAAUAUAUAUCCGAGUACAAGUGGACGCACAGGAGAACACGAAAGCCUUUUUGCAGGAGUUUAAAAAAAAAACUCUCAGGAGACCAAACAGCUACAACGUGGAAUCCUAACACCAGCAGUAGCAGGAUGUGCAAGGUACAAAGAAAGCAGAGGUCAGUGAUAAAUAGACUUCAUUUGUACACUUGAUAGUGGAAUUGGAAGUACACUCUUGCACAUCUUUUUAUAGCUCUUUCAUUACCUUCCCUAAUGCCUGUACAUUCAUAAUAGAUUUCUAGUUAAUGUUGUGCAAAUCAUGUACUUAGUGCCAGAUACAAUGAAACGUACACAGAGACAUCUAAGUUCGAAUACUAGUCUUGAUACUUCAUACCUGUAUAACCUUAGAAAGUCACAUUACUUUUCUGAUCUAUUAUCUGAAAACAGAAAUCAUGUUCCCUCCCAUAUUGAAGGGUUUUUGUGAAGAUUAUUUUUUGAAGUAACUGUUAAUAAUUGUAGCACAAAGCCCGUGUAUAUAGGAGGCUCUCAAUAAAUGAUUUUGCUUUUAUUUUAAUAUUGUGAUUAUUUUACAUUUCAUUUAUUUAAAAUCAUCUUCCAUUUUCUCAAUUUUAAAAAAAGGAAUUAAGAGAUGUAUAAUUACCGUUCAAUAUAGUAAUGCUAAUAAGUCUUUAGCAUUUCAAAUAAAACUGGUUUAUAAGUGUGUUUAUAUUCAUUCUGCCACAUUUAUGCGGAAUAUAGAAAUCUGAUUUUGCACUUAUGGACAUUGCUGAUGAAGAUUAUUUUUUGUUUGUUUAUUUUGACAGCCUUCUUUUUUUUUUUUUCUUUUUUCUUUUUUUAUAAGAUAGAGCCUUGCUCUGUCUCCCAGGCUGGAGUGCAGUGGCACAAUCUCAGCUCACUGCAACCUCCACCUCUCGGGUUCGAGCAAUUUUCCUGCCUCAGCCUCCUGAGUAGCUGGGAUUACAGGUGCCUGCCACUGCACUCAGCUAAUUUUUGUAUUUUUAGUAGAGACAGGAUUUCACCACACUGGCCAGGCUGGUCUUGAGCUCCUGACCUCAGGUAAUCCACCCGCUUCGGCCUCCCAAAGUGUAGGGAUUACAGGCGUGAGCCACCACGCCUGGUCUAUUUUGAUGACCUUCUUAACAUUGGACCUAAGAAUUUAGUUCACCCACUAUCCUGUCUUUGCCUUAUUGAUGAGAACUUAAUCACCCAAAGCAAUUGUAAUCAUGUAGAUAACACAAAGGAUUGAUGGGUUUGGCCAGAUCAACCAAAGUUCAAGUUGAAAAUUGUUUUCCAAGUGCCCAUAGCUCAUUCGGCUAUUGUUUCAAGAUGUUAUACAUAAUUUAUCAGGAGGAGGACUGGGAGAGCAGGGGUAGAGUGAGGGUAUGGACCCAGCAUGCUUCCCUAGUUCUAACAUUCAGCACCACAUUCCUGGCCCCUUUCAGCUCUUCUAGAAUUGGGCGUAUGGAUAUUUGUCACCAUGGCAUGAUUAGAUGGAACAGGAGCAUUUGUCUCAUAUCACUGUGAACCCUGAAUAUCUAAGACAGGUCUCAGUUCAUUUAGAAAGUUUAUUUUGCCAAGGUUGAAGAUGUGUGCCUGGACACAGCCUCAGGAGGUCCUGAUGACAUGUGUCCAGGGUGGUCAGAGCAGUUUUGUUUUAUACAUUUUAGGGAGACAUGACACAUCAGUCAUAUGUAAGAUGAACAUUGGUUCAGUCCAAAACAGCAGGACAACUUGAAGGACAGGUGGGACAACUGGAAGUGGGGAGGGGGCUUCCAGAUCAUAGGUAGAUGAGAGAAAAAUGGUUGCAUUGAGUUUCUGAUUAGCCUCUCCAAGGGAGGCAAUCAGAUAUGCAUUUACCUCAGUGAGCAGAGGGGUAACUUUGAAUAGAAGCGGUUCCCAGCUUGUCUUUUCCCUUUAGCUUAGUGAUUCUGGGGCCCCAGGAUUUAUUUUCCUUUCACACUCUCCUACUACUUUCUUUAACUUUUACAGAUCCUUUAAGCCUUCUUUUGAUCUCUCUUGUCCAGCACCCCCCAUCAUGUUAAGGAAAUGGAUAUUUUAUGGUUGUAUAAAAUCUCUCCUAUUAAAUUGUAAGUUCUAUGAGAACAGGGAUGAUGCUGAUGUAUAUUAAGCAAUUAAGCAUGUUAUCUGAUACACAGUUACGCUUAAGUAGUUCUAAAGUUGUAUUCUUCUGUUAUAGUUAAACAUAUGACCACUUUAACAUGGGGCUUAGAAUAUAUUCUUUGGCUUGUAUCUUUUAAAGGAGGAGUGUGCAUGAGAAAGACAUGAGAGAACGUCGAGACCAAAGCAUUUUGUUUUAAAACAGUGACUCUGUUACCAGGAAAGGGUCCCUGUACAGACCCCAAGAGAGAGUUCUUGGAUCUAGGCAAGAAAGAAUUCAGAGAGAGUCCGUAGAGUAAAGUGAAAGCAAGUUUAUUAAGAAAGUAGAGGAAUGAACGAAUGGCUACUCCGUAGACAUAGCAGCCCCAAAGGCUGCUGGUUGUUCAUUUUUAUGGUUAUUUCUUGAUUAUAUGCUAAACAAGGGGUGGAUUAUUCAUGCCUCCUCUUUUUAGACCACAUAGAGUAACUUCCUGACGUUGCCAUGGCAUUUGUAGACUGUCAUGGCGCUGGUGGGAGUGUAGCAGUGAGGAUGACCAGAGGUCACUCUAAUUGCCAUGUUGGUUUUGGUGGGUUUUAGCUGGCUUCUUUACUGCAUCCUGUUUUAUCAGCAAGGUCUUUAUGACCUGUGUCUUGUGCCAACCUCUGUCUCAUUCUGUGACUUACAAUGCCUAAUCAUCUGGGAAUGCAGCCUAGUAGGUCUCAGUCUUAUUUUAUCUAGUCCCUAUUCAAAAUGGGGUUGCUCUGAUUCAAACACCUCUGACAUAUGUUCUCCCUCCAUUUUAUAAGAGAACUCUUAAGGGUUAUAGAGGGAUGAAGAUCCAUCUUCUGUAACUUCUUCAGGCUGAAUAAGAGCAAUGAUAUUCCUACCGAGCUCCUACCGAGCUCUUCAGUCUCUUGCAUUCAGGGUAGAGAGGAGCUCAGUCAGAAAGCAUUGGUAUGUGACAGCCAUUCAUAACUCUUGAGUGCUGAAAAAAAGGUGAUAUCUGGAAGAUUAAUAAGUGUCCAGUUUAAGAGAACAUUGAGUAAGCUUAUCCUGCAUUCCUACACGUGGAGUAAAACAGCAAUGUAUUCCACAAGAGUAAAGUAAAGUAAGUAAAAUUAUCCCAAGUAAACUGAAUUAGAAGGCUUUCCAUGAACAGGGCAAUUGUUGGAACCAAGCCGUUAUGGGGUUGCUAGCCAGUUCCAGUGUUCCCAGAAUUAGAAUAUUGACUCCAGAUUUUUAUAUUACUCAUCCUUUUUAUUUCUUUUGAGCAGCAUCCAGAGAUCACUGGUUGGUUUACAGGAGUAAGCAGGGUCAGCCUAAAUUGCAGGAAAAAACUCAAAAACAACUGAUGAGACUAGAAUCUAUUAAUAAUAACAAGUGAACUAUAGUUCUUGUCAUUUAAUUUCUCUCUCUAGUUUCCCAUUUUUACUAGAGACAAAUUAUGGUAAGAUUGAUUUGCUUUAUUAUGCUUGGCCUGUUUAUUUGUGUAAAGUACAGCAAGAAUAAUUAUUUUUGAUAUAGACUUUUUAGUUGGCUUUGAUGGAAUUCUGUUGCAUAAGGAAUCUCAGAUAAGACUUAUUUUUUAAGUUGAGCCCAGCCAUGGGUUUGUAACCUCAAACAUCUAUGAGUUGGAUAAAUUCCUCUACUCUUGAAGUCACAAGAUAGCUUGGGGCUCCUGGGCUUAUCAGAAAGUGACAUUCUUUGCUUAUCACUGGUCAAGAACCCUAUACAGAGACUGUGUAGACAAGGUAUGAGGCCAGUUUUCCCAAGAGACUUUUAUUGGCUUUAAAGUCAAGUUCAGUUCCUUAAAGGAAAGCACACCAUUCCAGUCAAUGCCUUGGUAAAAUAACCAGUUUCGCUAAUUGUUUCCUGUUACAAAAGAAAACAGAUUCUUAUUGCACUUAUGCAAAUAACUGUAUUGCCAUAAAUUAAGAAUACCCAGCUGGAGGUGGUGGCUCACUCCUGUAAUCCCAACACUUUGGGAGGCUGAGGAGGGUGAAUCACAAGGUCAGGAGUUCGAGACCAGCCUGGCCAAGAUGGUGAAACCCCAUCUCUACUAAAAAUACAACAAUUAGCUCAGCGUGGUGGUGGGCACCUGUAAUCCCAGCUACUCAGGAGGUGGAGGCAGGAGAAUCACUUGAAUCAGGGAGGCGGAGGUUGCAGUGAGUGAGAUCACACCACUGCCCUCUAGCCUGGGUGACAGAGCAAGACUCCAUCUCAAAAAAAAAAAGGAAUACUCACAAAUAGUUUCCAAAUUCUGGAGAAAUUAAGUAGAGAGAAACAAAUAUGCUUCAAAUUUUGUUCACAGGAGUAUACUUUACUUAAUUGUUAAAAGCUGCAAGUAGGUUAAAAGAAGUUACCUUGACUCUGAAAAACAAAGCAAAUGAUCAGCAAUUUUUAAGCAAAAUGUCAAAAAAGUUUCUUUAAUCUUACAUUAGUUUAGUCCAUGCAGUUAACUCCUGUUUCUGUUUGAUAGUCAUAAACAUUUCAGCUCUCAUGAGAGUCCUUAAUGUUUUUCCUAUUCCAAAGUUAUUCAAAGUAAUCAGAAACCUGCAUUUAAGAGCAACUAUCAAAGUCCUUUCACUGAUUAUGAAACAAUCUUUUGAAGAGGAUCAAAACAACACAACAAUUUUCUGUGAAUGACAAAAUCUUUUAGGGCAGCCACAGUUAAAAACAUGAUUGACAAAUUUGGUUACCUUUCUGGCAUAUGAUUUUAUGUAACAAUUAUAAUAACAUACACUAAGUCCUAUUAGAAUUAGAGGAGUUUUACAUAAUUUUGGAACACAUACCAACAACAUAUUUACACAAAUAUAGCCCCAAGAAAGCCAGACACUGUUUCACAUGUGACAGUGCUUCCUGUAUGAUUUUUGUACCAAAUAAGCCAAAUUUCACCUUUACAUUAGUGUACUAUUAAUGUUAAAACCAAUUCUUAAUAAAAUUCAUUGACAUAUCUACCCAAUUUUAGUGCUUGACCAUAAGGUAAGAUACUCAUAAACCUUUUUUAACCCUUACAAUUUUUAUAACCUUUACAAUUUUUCAUUAAAGUGUCGAUUAGUGCUCUAAGAAAAACCUGUUUUGAGCCAAAUUCUGGUUGCAAGGCAGAUUACUCCAAAGAUGGUUCCUAGAGGGGAAGAGAAUUAAAAAAUGGCAAAUGUCACACCGAUAUCAAACCAGAAAGGACUCAUUUCCUAAGCCAGGAAUUGAACCCUGAACCUGAGCAGCCAUUGUGAUGGCAGAGACCAAGAGAAAGUACUGCCAUGUGGUUAAAAGGUCAAGCGCCCAAGGAUCUAGAACAAGAGAAGAGGAGAACUUCAUUCAGUUUUGUUUCAGGGACCUGCAGCGAAGUUUGUAACUGACCAGUUUUCUGGGCCAUUUUGAACAGCAGGCUUAUGGUGUCCUAGGCCAGCGUUCUAUCCUAAGAUACCCUUCUUUAUGACCAAACAAUACAGAAAGGCACACAAAGCACACCAGAUUCACUACAGCUUAAGAUUAGCCUCAUGGAUCCUUUUUUCCCAUUAAUCGAACAUUUACAGAGAAGAUAAACAGUGAUUUUUACCAUUCAUUCAACCAGUUUGCCCAGAGGGAGAAAGAGAGAGAGAGAGAGAACAAACGAACCUAGAAGUCUGACUAGUAAGAAAUUCUUAUCCUUUUGCUGGCAUGCCAGGCUUCUGGGUUCCCUUGCCCUGAGUGGCCCCAGUGACCUGGUUGGCUGCACCAAAGCCCUGGCUAACAAGCUGCAACAAAGAGGAAAAUUAUCAAAUUUCCCCUUUGAGGGAGGAAAAAACUCCCCAUUUCCCAUGGUCCUUUACUUGUGUAAUUCUGUCACCCGCAACUGUCAGCAAAGACUGCAAAGCAGAUUACUCCAAAGAGCAUAGCAGUUAACAUCCCAUAGUGCUGAACCCGUUCUUGUCCGAGGACUUUACUAAGAGGGUCCACUAACCCCCUAAAUCUUAUAAAGGACUCUAACCUUCCUAAGUUGGGCCUCGAACCCGAGUUCAGUCAAGCUUCCUUGCCUUUUACUGAGAGGAGCCUUUAAAUCUGUCUUAGGAGAGACUCUGACUCCCUUAAAUUGGGCCUCUAAUCCAAUCCCACUCUUCACUCGGGUAUAUGCACCCCAUGUACCCAAAGUUGGCCAAUUGGUACAUGCAGGUGAUUUUCCUUUGGGUUGGGGGUCUGUUUAGUUUCUUCUCUUCCAUGAUCUGCCAGAAAGAUGUUGCUGGACCCCACCACUUACCCAAAGUUAGUCUUUGGGUCAGGAGUUUCCUUAGUAUUGAUCCUUCCAUGGUGGCCAGAAAGAUGUUACCGGAAAGGGGUCCUGAUCCAGACCCUAAGAGAGGGUUUUUGGAUCUCAGGCAAGAAAGAAUUCAGGGAGAGUCCAUAGAGUAAAGUGAAAGCAAGUUUAUUAAGAAAGUAGAGGAAUGAAUGAGUGGCUACUCCAUAGACAGAGCAGCCCCAGGGCUGCUGGUUGUUCAUUUUUAUGGUUAUUUCUUGAUUAUAUGCUAAACAAGGGGUGGAUUAUUCAUGCCUCCCACUUUUAGACCAUAGAGGGGAACUUCCUGAUGUUGCCAUGGCAUUUGUAAACUGUCAUGGCACUGGUGGGAGUGGAGCAGUGAGAAAGACCAGAGGUCACUCUCGUUACCAUGUUGGUUUUGGUGGGUUUUAGCUGGCUUCUUUACUGCAAUCUGUUUUAUCAGCAAGGUCUUUAUGGCCUGUGCCUUGUGCCAACCUCCUGUUUCAUUCUGUGACUUAGAAUGCCUAACCGUCUGGGAAUGCAGCCCAGUAGGUCUCAUGCUUAUUUUACCCAGCCCCUCUUCAAGAUGGAGUUGCUCUGGUUCAGACACCUCUGACAAACCUGGUACAGUUACGAGGAAUGAGAGUUAGGAGUUUUUUUUUUAUUUUUAAUAUUCUCAUCAGGACUGUUGCCUGUAAUAUAAGUGUGUACAGGUGUGUGUAUUUAAAGUGAGAGUGUGUGUGAGUUUGUGUGUGUGUGUGAGUUUGUGUGUGUGAGUUUGUGUGUGUGUGUGUGUAUGUGCGUGUACAGUGGUUUCUCCUUUUCCACUGGAGUAUGUUCUUCAGUGGGUGCCUGAAACUUCAUGUUUUACUGAACCCUAUAUACACUGUUUUUUUUUCCUUUACAUAUGUAACUAUAAUAAAGUUUAAUUUAUAAAUUAUGCAGAGUAAGAGAUUAACAACAGUAAUACAUAAUAACAUAGAACUAUUAUAACAGUAUGCCAGUAUCACUACCUGUGCUUUGGGGCCAUUCAAAAUAACAUAAAGUUAACUUGAACACAAGCACAGCAAUACCAUGGCAGUCUGUUUGAUAACUGAGAUGGCCAUUAAAUGACUGAUGAGCAGGUAGUGGAUAGUGCAGAGAUGCUGGGCAAAGUGAUGAUUCACAUCUGGAUUGGGAUGCAGGAGGACAUCACAAGAUUUCAUCAUGCUACACUGAAGGGCGUGCAUUAAAACUUAUGAAUUAUAUCUGGAAUUUUCCAUGUAAUAUUUUCAGGCCACAGUUGACUGAAACCAUGGAAAGUGAAACCAUGGAAAAGAGUGGACUGGUGGAGUACAACUGGCAUGCGCACACACACACACACACACACACACACACACACAUGCUUGAUAUCAACAAAGAAUUACAUACCAUUCACAGUCUGGAGGCAAAAGGGAGGCUGUGAUAGACUGUAAUGAUAAAUCCUGUUCUCUUGAGCACUGAGUUCUGUUUUGUUGGCCUCAUCCAGCAUGUCAUCCUUUCUCUCAUCUUCUGGUUCUGAUCACUAUAUUUUGCUUCUGUGCCUCCAGAGAAAUUAUGUUGGACAUUUAAUAAUUACAGAGGAAAACAUCAAAUCUUAACAAAUAUUUAAGGAGACUCUGUUGUAGGUGCAGUGCACUGGAGCUUGCUGUGGAGAAUGAAAGAGAAACAUUAGAUGUGGCCCCUUCCCGUAACCACACUGAUUAGUAUCAAAGGGAGCAGGGGUGGUGAUCGCAAGUUUUGUUUUUUUUUUUUUUUAAAGAAAAAUCACAGGCCCUGGUUUAAAAAAUUGCUUUGUGCUGUGCCUCACACUUUGGUGAGUUAAGUACUCACUGCAAUACCGGAGACAAGCCAAAGAAUUUCAUUUUAAUAUAGAUAUUUUCUUUUAAAAGUUAGUAUUUAGUACAGUAAAGAGGAGUAGGAGCUAACGUUUUUAUAUUCUCAUUAGGACUAUACAUUAUUUUUAUAUACAUGUAAACUGGGGACAAUAACAAAUUAUGUAACAUCCACAGCAUGGAGGCUUUGAUAUACUUUAAUUAAUUCCUAGGUAAAAUUAGUAUGCAUUAUAGUUUACAGAAACAAAAUACACAAACCUGCUAAUCAAAAUGUUCAGCCAACAGAGCUGAGGCUUUUUCAUUAGUUAUAUUGCCUUGAAUUUCAUCACUGUACCAGCUGGCUUCUUGUCAAUUUAUAGUUUGGACCUUUACAUCAAACAGCAAAAAAAUUAAUUACAGGAGAAGGAGUCCCAAUCGGAAUUUUGCGCUUAGAGGUUUUUCACGAUUAACCAGACAUGAAUGGGGCUGUGUAAGGAGGAAAUGGAACUAGAGAGAAGGAACUUGGUAGACUUUUUUAGAAUCAUUAACUGUAGCAAUGUUAGUCACCUGCUUCCGUGAUUUUGUUUUAAGGUUUAGCCAAAGUUUUCAGAUUUCUCAUUUCUAGGAGCACCCAGUUCUGUUACUAUAUUGAAUGCAAUGAAUCAUGUCAUGAAUUCUGAAUUCUCUUAGAAAGGGUCCCAAGUGAUGGCUCAAAAAAUGAUUAUCCUCUCUUCAUUUUGAAUCGAGGAACAUUCUAUGUCUUACACUACUGAUCAUAAUCAUAAUUUAAUGAGCAGAACGAUCAUGCUUUGAUGGUUAGUGCCAGAUUACUUGUAAUGUGUAUUUUGGACUCAGAACUAUUGUUCUUAACUGUCACAGUCAUUGCCUCUGUGCGCUACAGUUAGUUUAAAUGUGACUUUUCUAAGCCUCUUAUCUGUUGAAUAAACCAGUCAAAGGUUUUAAAAAUGCUUCCUUCAACUUAGCUUUCUACUUUUCUUUUUUAUUUUGCUUAAAAGCCCUUACUUGUGACCCAUUCUUCUAGUUGCUGACAUUCUAAUAUAGUGAAUGGUUCUUUCACAAAUACAUUUAAUCUUUGGAUGCUUGGAGAAUCCAAAGAACACAUUUCCCUUCUCUGAAAAAUGCAUGUGAACAUACAUACAACAUUUUGCAUGAAAUAUUAGAAAAUCAUUAGAAAUUCAUGAACCCCAAGUUGUGAACACCUGUUGCAUUCAUUGAGGAACAUAUAAAUGUAUUAUGUACAUAUGUAUGUAUACCUAUCAUAUUCAUGUAUAAUUUAGGAAUAUACAUAUUGCUUAAAUUCAAAUGCUGAUUCAGAUCAUAUUGUUUGCAUUCUGUCAAGUCAUCUAUACUAAAAUAAAUCAAUUAUAUUGUUUGCCAUCACCUGAAUAAAUUUAGAUUUCUGAUCCAUUUUUGUACACAGCAGCCCUUACUUAUAGGCUCAUUUGGGUCACCAUAUUUCACUGUACUGUCUCAAUUACUGCCAUAUACCCUAAGUAAUUUGUAGACCAUAGCUGAGAAGGACAUUCUUAACUUGUUUUAAUGAUAGUAUUUUUCUUCGUUAGGUUUGUGAGCUGUGAGCUAGUGUAGGAUACUAACAGGCAUUUUCCAGUUUUCUCUCUCCAGCCUUAAGAAUGGUUCACUAUUAUCCCAAGGUCACUUUGAAAGUGUUUCUGUGAUUUGCUUCCAUUUAUUUUAUGCUUGUGUUUAUGGUUUUGAACCAAAUAUGAAAUUUAAUGUUGCAUUUGUCUACAUUAAACUUAAUUUGCCCCUUGUCAGCUCGUUUACAACAGAGAAAACAUUCAGAGCCACCCUGUAGAAUGUUUUGUCUACAAUCACUGAUACAAUUUUUCUGUCUCUCUUUCUUAUAUGCAACUUUCUAUAUUUUUCAGUCUAAAAAGAGGCCUCUCUGAAGGAACAUUUUCAGAAAAUCUAAAUGCCUAAUAGGGAUUAAUAAAUGAUUUUCUAAUAAAAUAGAAUCAUUACCCUAUUUUGAAUUUUUUAAAGUUCUAUUUUCUAACUUAGAAAUUUAAUUUCAUAUUACAUAUUAUAUGAAUACGCUUCUUGAGAUGCUCUUUAAAGUAGUGAAUUUAUACUUGAAAAAGAUAAAUGAAGUAAAAGUUAAAAUAUAAACAAAAUCUUAAAUUGAGUUACAUUACCAAAUAUUACCAAAUAUUUUGUGUGCUUUUUCCUUUUUCUCAGAUUUUUCUAAGUACUGAAAUUAACCUCAUGUAAUUAAAUUUCUCCAUUUAAAAAUUAGUUACUUUUUAAAAAUAAUUUCAACUUUAAUUUAGAUGCAGGGGGUACAUGUGCAGUUUGUUAUGUGGAUAUAUUGCAUGAUGCUGAGGUUUGGGGUGUGAAUGUCCGUCACCCAGGUAGUGAACAUUGUACCCAAUAGGUAGUUUUUCAGCCCUCCCUGCUUUCUCUCUCCUGCCUCUAGUAGUCCCCAGAUGAAUUUUUUCUUAAUGCUUACUAAUUUUUCAAUACCAUUAUAUGGUAUUGAAAUGAUAAAUGAAUAUUUUAAAUUGAUAUAUCUUAGAGGGCACUAAAAUGAAACAUUAAAUAUAAAUGAUGAAAAAUACUUUUAAAGUAGAAUCCUAAACAUAUACAUUAAUGUAUAUUCUACUUUUAAAGUAGAAUCCUAAACAUAUACAUUAAGGAAUAUAAUUUGUGUGUUGAAAAUUAUUUUCAGGAGAAUCUACUAACUUGUGCCUGUAUCUUUGAAUCAUGAGCAGUGUUCAAAACUUGGGAAAUGUUUGAUCCUAGAAUAUCUGUUGUUUACCUUUGAGCAGAUAUUAUAUUUAUUCAGUUUAUGUUAGGGAAAUAUCAGACAGGUGUACAAAGAUACAUUUAAAAGACUGGUGAUUUUUUAUAACACAGAAAUAUUACAAAAAGUCAAAAUUACUAGCUUAAGGUGAUUGGUUAAGUAAAAUUUCAUUACAUGGUCCACAAUGGAAUACCAUCAUGGAGAUGCAUACUUAUUGAUAUGCAAAAUGCUCAUUUUUAAUUUCAAAAUAAUAUGUAAUACAAGUCUAUCUUUGUUCAAAAACAAGUUGUAGGUAGUUGGUAGAUAGGUAUGAAUGUAUGUAUAGGUAUCAAUAUAGAUAUAAAUAUACAGAUGUGGAUAUAGACAAAAAUAAAUACAGUGUUUAUCAAAAGAAAAACAUUAUUUUGUAACAUCUGUGUGUGUGUAAUUGUGAUUUUUAAAAAUAUUUCUAUAAGUGGAUUACUUAAUAAAUUAAUAAAGAAAAAUAAAA